rnacentral:snRNA from 1 species
GUGUGUUUUGCUUUGGUAUCACAUAUAUUAAAUAAUUGGAAUAAUACUGAGAAGUAUCAGCAUGGUCCCGGCCCAAGGAUGACGCACACAUUUGUGAAGUCUUCCAUAUUUUU